CCUACGGGAGGCAGCAGUGGGGAAUUUUGGACAAUGGGGGCAACCCUGAUCCAGCAAUGCCGCGUGAGUGAAGAAGGCCCUCGGGUUGUAAAGCUCUUUUGUCAGGGAAGAAACGGUGGUUCCUAAUACGAGCUGCUAAUGACGGUACCUGAAGAAUAAGCACCGGCUAACUACGUGCCAGCAGCCGCGGUAAUACGUAGGGUGCAAGCGUUAAUCGGAAUUACUGGGCGUAAAGCGUGCGCAGGCGGUUAUAUAAGACAGAGGUGAAAUCCCCGGGCUCAACCUGGGAACUGCCUUUGUGACUGUAUGGCUAGAGUGUGUCAGAGGGGGGUAGAAUUCCACGUGUAGCAGUGAAAUGCGUAGAUAUGUGGAGGAAUACCGAUGGCGAAGGCAGCCCCCUGGGAUAACACUGACGCUCAUGCACGAAAGCGUGGGGAGCAAACAGGAUUAGAUACCCUGGUAGUCCACGCCCUAAACGAUGUCUACUAGUUGUCGGGACUUAAUUGUCUUGGUAACGCAGCUAACGCGUGAAGUAGACCGCCUGGGGAGUACGGUCGCAAGAUUAAAACUUAAAUGAAUUGACGG
rnacentral:rRNA from 1 species